CCUACGGGGUGCUGCAGUGAGGAAUAUUGGUCAAUGGGCGAGAGCCUGAACCAGCCAAGUCGCGUGAGGGAGUACUGCCCUAUGGGUUGUAAACCUCUUUUGUCGGGGAGCAAAAGCCGGACGUGUCCGGCUGUGAGAGUACCCGAAGACAAAGCAUCGGCUAACUCCGUGCCAGCAGCCGCGGUAAUACGGAGGAUGCGAGCGGUAUCCGGAUUUAUUGGGGUUAACGGGUGCGCAGGCGGAUUUUUAAGUCAGCGGUCAAAUCGUGGGGCUCAACCCCAUCCAGCCGUUGAAACUGGGGAUCUAGAGUGUGCGAGAGGUAUGCGGAAUGCGUGGUGUAGCGGUGAAAUGCAUAGAUAUCACGCAGAACCCCGAUUGCGAAGGCAGCAUACCGGUGCACAACUGACGCUCAGGCACGAAAGCGUGGGUAUCGAACAGGAUUAGAUACCUCUGUAGUC
rnacentral:rRNA from 1 species